AUUUUCCCUUCCUCUAUUAAAUAAUGUGUCAUUCUGGGUUGUCUGUCAUCUGAGCCAGUGACUCAGUUCUGUCUAAGAAUAUGUCUGCGACUUUGAUGAUUGCAAAAUUCAGGAAGUUUUCCCCUUAGAAAAGCCCAGCUUUUAUCCCUAGAGCACAGGAGCGUAGAGAGAAGACUUAGAGCCAGAUUGUGAUAACCACAGGGAGUUGGAGGAGAAUUUGAGGAUUUUUCUGAACAGUUUACAUUCCUAAGGAGGGAGACAGUCUUUUGCCUUCAAAUGAGCUCUGUGAAAUCCCUUUUAGUGUUGUAAAACAUACCUCCUUAGUCUCAGAUGGUACCUUUGCCUUAAAACUCAGACUUGAGGAUGAAGUGGAGAGUGAAGAACUUAAACCUCUGCUGCUUGCAGUCUCUGGAUGUCUGCCGAGCAGUAAGCAUCAACUCACAGACAGGGUCUACUUGUGAAAGUUACAGCUACUUGGAAGCCCUCAACAGAGAAGUGAGAUUUAAGUUUCUGGGUGUGAAGCACUAAAACCUCACCCCCCCACCAUGCUGGAAUGUCUUGCAUCAUAAUAUGAAUUUAGCCCAAUCAGUAUUUCUAAUUUAUUGUGAAACAUUGCCAACAAAUUACCCUAAUGCCUUCUGUUUGCUCACCUUUUUCUGGCCCAGCGAUUCCUGAUGAGAGAAUGAAAGAGAAUCUCCUGAAGCCUUUAUUAAAACAGACUGCAACCCGCAGUCUGGUGUUCCUGAUCUCCUUGGGUUGUGAUGAUCUCCUAUGUUUACAUUCUUAAGGCGGCCUCAGGAGAUGCCGAUGAAGCUGAUGGGGGUAGCACAGAUUUGGAAAAUGACCAUUACAAAGUUACAAAUUCCCUAUAAGUCAGUGGGCUGGAACUACAAAGACAUUUACUUGAGAAACUGACAAGAGCUGAAAAUCACCAGGAAUAUGCCUAGCUGAAAAAGAUAUAAUUAACUGCAAAUAGAAGCAGAAUCAUCCACUAAAUGGUAAUAUCUGUUCUUGAAAAUGUUGUUUUCACUUUUACCAAAGGACACAAAUGAUUAUGUUGAUAUUUAAAUUUAUUAUGAAUAUUUUUAUUCCAUUGUUAAAUUACCCCUUAAAUGAGUCUUGAAGAGAUUUGUUAAUUUGAUAUAUAAGAUUUAUUUGCAACAUUUUCCUUGGUAAUGUGGUACACCAGUUUAGAUUUCAGUAAAUAUAAAUAAUCUUUGUCACAUUGCUCAAGUGCUCAAACUUUCUUAUCUUUACUCUGUAGGCUUUUCUCCAAAUAUUCUAGAUGUUUUAAAACAAUUCAAUUUUUUCCUUUUCUCAUAUUUUUCCCUUCCCUUCUUUCCUUUCCCCUACCCCUCCCACCUCCCCUACCCCUUUAAACCUUUUCUUCCUAUUUCACAUUAAGAAUUAUACAUUUUGAUCCUUAUUUACACUUUCAUUUUCUCACACCAGAGAAACUUUUCAGUAUUUACACGUGUGUCCUAUUGAUUUCACUUAAUUUAAUUAGCUUAUUUUGUAGAAAUUUAAGUUUUUUUCAAUAUCUGUGCUCUGAAAGAAUAACAGAGAAUAAAAGAUAAAACAUAUAUAAUUGAAUGUACAAAUAAUGUUUAACUUUAUAUUAACUUUUCACUGUUUUAUUUAUAGCUUUAAAUUAACUAUUCAAUCACCAAGUCAUUCUUGACUAUUUUACGGGCUAUGCAUUGUGUCAGUGGUAGAACAAAAUGGUAAGCAAAGAUAGGCAAAGUUUCUACUCUCUUGCAACUUAAAUUGUAGGUAAGGACAGACAGAUGAUUAACAUAAGAAUAGAAGAAAUAAAUACAAAAAUAUACUAAAUCAGUGAGUGCUAUCAAGAAGAAAUAAAUGACAAAAUGAGAACACCUUGACUGAAUUGGGAGGUCUGUGGAGUCAUCCAUGAGGUAAUGUGUGAGAUCAAAAUGAAGAAUAGUCAUGAAGUUCAGGGGAACAGGGAUACAGAGUAAGAGCACAGGGGAGAAGAAAUUGUUGCAGUGACACUGUGGAAGACAUGAGUAGAUACUGCUUUUAUAUACGUGUGUUUGUGUGUGUGCUUAGAGCCAGUAAGAUAAUAAUUUUAACCAGAAAUAAAAUUUCAGUAAGUAAAUAAUAGUGUUGGUCAUAAUAUCACGUUAUGAAUUGUUGCUAUCCUACAGUUGCAGGCUAAAGCUGGUAUCUUUCUGCAAAGUUGCAGAUCUACCCACAUACAAAUGACCUGAAAUAAGCAGGGCCUCUAGGCUUGUUUUCUGAAGCAUACCUCUGAUUCUGUGUUUGGCAAAGAGAAUCUAUGAAGCAAAUGGUAUCUUGUUUAUCUUUUGAGAAAACAAUACUGGUUUACAAACUACUUCCAACAUUCAUGGCUUAGACCAGUUAGAGCAGGUUGGCUGGGCUUGUCUGGCCCUAGCGGGACUCACUCAUGGCCUGGGAUGGGGAGUAGCUCUGCUAGCAGUCCCUGUGGAUGUGGACUGGGCUCUACUCCUUCCUCUUGGUGGGCAUGGAGUGGCCACAGCUGGGGCACUGGAGUGGCUCACCUCCAACCAGUCCUUACUCUACAGCAGGCUUGGCAGAAGAGGAGCCUGGAGAAGUGAGCAGGUCUGACCACCUUCCACAAGUCUCCAUUUAUUGCACAUUUGCUACUUCCCCGUGCUUAACACAAGUCACAUGGCCAGCCUAGCAUCCCUGUGGAAGUGUUUGCCUAAGAGUCAUGGAUGCUGAAAGACAGGAAGACUCCUGGUGAACAACUCCAGCAAUCAACCGCAGCUGCAUUCAGAGUAGCAAUAGUAGUUUUUAAAAAAUAAAGGCGCACUCUGCUUUGGAAGUGUUUUCUCACGGACUCUAAGAACUUGGCACAUUAAUGGAAAGGUCGUUUUGGCUGAGUGCUGAGAGAGAAAGCAAGACGGGUGGGCGUUGGAGAAAAGGAGGCUGGGGUCUCUGCCGGGCCAUAUUUCUGAAUGCAGUGACUUUUGCCUUCUGACUGAGUGAAAGAAUGAAAUGAACAAUGUACAAACUCUCCCAUUAGGAAUAAUUAAGUGGUACAUUUGCAGAAAAACCAAAAUUAAUUUCCUCGGGAUGUAAUUUCCCAAGAAUAACACUAAAAUUUAAGUAAUAAGUUUAAUGAUACAGGCAUCAUAAAAAGUUCAUUCUAAUUCUUAAAAACAUUAUAAUUCUACUAUUUAGCAUAUAUUUAAGUCUACUUUUCUUUGUCAUUCCUUGAUAUUUUAAAUGGAAAUAAUUUCCCUACUCACUGUAGUGCAAAACUUGAUUUUCUUUUUUGUUCAAAAGAAUUUGAGUGUAUGCGUCCAUUUUUUUGUGUGUAAGAUAAAAUAUGACUUUUACAUGGCUUAUACCUAUCUCUUUGGAUUUCUCUAAAGUGUAUUGUGACAAUUUUAUAUUUGCUUUGAUUCUUAAUCUUUAAAACGUUUACACUGUCUGAUUUCAGGAAAAGUUUGACUCGUAACAUUCAUUCAGGAAAAUACAGAAAACACAUGUUCAACUCCUACAAAAUAUACCUAACUGUGGAAGAAGCAUUCAGAUGUUUAAAAACGAACAUUAGCAGUACCUCAAAUGUUGUUUAUUCACCUUCUCUGAAGUACUAUCUCUUUCUGCUCAAAGAUAACCUCUAAUGUGAUUUCUAGUACCAUCGAGUAGAUUUGCUUUUGCUUUUCAACUUUAUAUUAUAUAGUCUGAUUUAUCUUGGUCAAUUUUUUUCUGAUUUUAUUUAAAUUUUAUUUAAAUUUCAUAUAACUGUGAUGAUAUAAUUUGUAGUCAUUUGGGUGUUACAUUUUUCAGUGGCAUCUUUUUGGGUUCAUACAUGUCAAAGCUCUGACCCUCUGUGUUGCUGCACACUGUGUGAAUGCAUGGCCUUUCCUUUACCUGCCCUCUCAUGAAGGGCAUCUUGUUCUCUCGUUGUUGACUCUGUGGAUAAUACUUGCUGUAAUCCGAAUCUUCCUGUUCUCUUCCCAUUCAUAUGUUGAAAACUAAUCCCGAAUGUGAGGGAUGUUGGAGGAGGUACUUUUGGGAGGUGAUUAGACCAUGGGAGCAGAGUUCUUGAGAAAGAAUUAAUAUAUUUUUUUGAGGAAGCCCCCGAGAAGUACCUCAUCUCCUUCUACCACAUGAACAUUUAAGAAGGGAUAAGGAAAUGCAUUUAACACUAUGCCAUAAAGAGGAUAACUUGAAUCGUUUGUAGGAAGAUGGAUGCACCUUGAGACCAUAAUAUUAAGUGAAAUAAAUCAGACACACAAGCUUAAAUGUCACAUGGUUUCUUUUAUAUGAGAAACACAAAUUGUAAAUAAAGAGCAAAAUAAACCAUAGAUAAUGGGAAGUAGGGAGGUAAAUCUUUCUCAAAUGGGAAGGAGAUGGAGAGAUGAAGGAAGGGAAGGGAGAGAGGAUGCAGAAAGGAAAGAAAGUGUAUAGCACACAUGCUCCAACUCCACAGGGGGAAUGGAAUCAUUAUGCACGGCAAACAUGGACUACUGAAAGUGAAUAAAAUGAUGAAAAAUUAAACAUAGGAAAAAAGGCAUGAGAAAGUGGACAAAUUUGCUCAAGACCAAUUUUCAGGUGGCUGUGACCUUGGAUUUCCUGGCUUCUAGAACUGUAAGAAAUAAAUUACUGUUCUUUAAGGGACACUUAAUUCAGAAUACUUCAUUAUAACAGCUUGAGAGAACAAACUCUGCUAUGCAUACUUUACAUUUGUGGGCAUUUGUUGGUUUUUUCUUGGGUAGGUAUCUAAGAGUCACAUUAUUAAUUAGUAUACUAGGUAUGUGUUUACUAUCUUAAGAAAAAUUUCCGAAGUUGCUCUACUAAAUUACAUUGCCACCAGUAGUAUAAGAUUUUCCUUCCAAUUUCUCCACAUCUUCUCCAUCCUUGGUAUCAUCAGAAGUUUUUAUUUUAGCCCAUUCUGUUGGAUAUGCAAUGGCAUUACAUUUGUGGUUUGAAUUUAAAUUUCUUUAAUUAAAAAUUAUGUUCCAUAAACAUUCGUGGGCUUAUUUGGUACUUAUGCAUCUUGACUUAGUAACCUGGUCUAAUCAAGUCUUUUCCUCU
ensembl:lncRNA